rnacentral:lncRNA from 1 species
UACACAUUAAUAUUGGAGGGAAAAGAUGCAGAAUAAAUUAAACGAAAAGAUUUGCUCUCUGGAAGAGACAAUGGAGUUGUCCUCUUCAGUUCAGAUCGUGGAUGGAAGCUAAAAUGGCCAUGACAAUGAUUUUCCGAUUUAUACGAAUCAAAUUACUCAUGUUAUCCGUAAGAUAUGAUUUUAUCUCUUUCACAUAAACAACGUGGUCUGUCACUUCAUGAACAAUACCUGUAUAUCAACAUGGUAACAAAAUCUUUAUCCAUCUUUUAAAGCUUCAAUCUAAUAAGAAGCUUCAAGUUCAGUUAAAAAUACUUGUUUAGCCAAAACAAAAACUGGAUAGCAUAAAUAGCAAAGAAUUGGUCUUUCACCUUUUUAGAUGGUGAUAUUUACAAGGGAUGAACCUCCAAGAAUAACAUAUUAUCGAAAUACUGAUAAUAAAACUUGCUCCAAGAUUAGCCUACAAAGUAGUUAAAAAGAUUUGACUUCUGAUUAACCUACCAUACUAGGAUCCGAUAACGCAUUCACAAUUCUAAACCACUUAAAAGACAUUUCAAAUAUCCUAAAGCCAUGAUUUAGAGCUUAAAAACGAAGGAGAUAAAAAUGUAGGGCAGAAUCCGUGCAUUAAAACACGAUGAAUAGACGUGCAAAACCUUGAGGAGGCUGCCCAAAAUAUACAUAUCGGCCGGGUGAAAUUGAGCUCCCACACAUUUUUAUUAUUACGCGAGAACCCAUUGGAUCGGCCAUAUAUAAAAUCUGACAAAUCACUAAAGCAGAAAUUAAACAUGAGAGAAAUAAACAUAAAGAGAAAAUGUGAGAACUUUCUACGGAUGCAAACGAUGAAAUUCAUCAAUUGCAGAGACGAAGAAAUGACUCGAGAUCAUUAUAUGCCCGCAACGGAACUAGAGCGCCAUUGUUUCAUAAGCUCGCUCUGUUCUCUCAAAGGCAAUGUUUGUAAACCCUAGCUUCCAAAGUGAUCUUAUAGAGUCAUUUCUGGCAGACCCAGCCUU